CGAAACCGAUAGCGAACAAGUACCGUGAGGGAAAGUUGAAAAGUACUCUGAAUAGAGAGUUAAAUAGUACGUGAAACCGCUUAGGGGUUAAGCCCGAUGAACCCGAAUAUCUGAUGUGAGAAAUUCAAUACUGUUCAUUUAAUUUAUGCGAUAGUAUGCACUUUUCUCAUAGUAGGACAUUGUAAUCCAUUGAUAUUAUAUCAUUUUCACAUUAUAUGGGGAAUGAUGAUUUAACAUACGAACAAAAUGUAUAAGUUUAUUCUAUCAGUGAUAUGUUUACAUGUCAUAUGAAUAAGAUCAUUUUGUAUCUGUUUAAAUAGUCGAUGGAUUUUAAACUGAAUCAUGCUUGCAAUUUAGUUUGCGUUUCGUAUUAUUGGCUAUUUAAUUGGUUGAUAAUAGCAGAAAUGGCAUGCAUUCGAUUAACAAUGCGAUAGAUUUGGGAUACUUUCAGGACCCGUCUUGA
rnacentral:rRNA from 1 species